AGUGGGGAAUAUUGCACAAUGGAGGAAACUCUGAUGCAGCAACGCCGCGUGGAGGAUGACCAUUUCGGUGCGUAAACUCCUUUUAUAUAAGAAGAUAAUGACGGUAUUAUAUGAAUAAGCACCGGCUAACUCCGUGCCAGCAGCCGCGGUAAUACGGGGGGUGCAAGCGUUACUCGGAAUCACUGGGCGUAAAGAGCAUGUAGGCUGGAUAAUAAGUUGGAAGUGAAAUCCUAUGGCUUAACCAUAGAACUGCUUCCAAAACUAUUUUCCUAGAGUAUGGGAGAGGUAGAUGGAAUUUCUGGUGUAGGGGUAAAAUCCGUAGAGAUCAGAAGGAAUACCGAUUGCGAAGGCGAUCUACUGGAACAUUACUGACGCUGAGAUGCGAAAGCGUGGGGAGCAAACAGGAUUAGAUACCCUGGUAGUCCACGCCCUAAACGAUGCACACUAGUUGUUGCUAUACUUGAUAUAGCAGUAAUGCAGUUAACACAGUAAGUGUGCCGCCUGGGGAGUACGGUCGCAAGAUUAAAACUCAAAGGAAUAGACGGGGACCCGCACAAGCGGUGGAGCAUGUGGUUUAAUUCGACGAUACGCGAAGAACCUUACCUGGCCUUGACAUAGUAAGAAUCUUUUAGAGAUAGAAGAGUGCUAGUUUACUAGAACUUACAUACAGGUGCUGCACGGCUGUCGUCAGCUCGUGUCGUGAGAUGUUGGGUUAAGUCCCGCAACGAGCGCAACCCUCGCUAAUAGUUAAUAACGGUUCGGCCGAUGACUCUAUUAGGACUGCCUGGGCAACCAGGAGGAAGGUGAGGACGACGUCAAGUCAUCAUGGCCCUUACGGCCAGGGCUACACACGUGCUACAAUGGGAUAUACAAAGAGCAGCAAUACCGUGAGGUGGAGCAAAUCUCAUAAAAUAUCUCCCAGUUCGGAUAGCAGUCUGCAACUCGACUGCUUGAAGUUGGAAUCGCUAGUAAUCGUAGAUCAGCAAUGCUACGGUGAAUACGU
rnacentral:rRNA from 1 species